GCAGCAGUGAGGAAUUUUGCGCAAUGGGCGAAAGCCUGACGCAGCAACGCCGCGUGAGUGAUGAAGGCUUUCGGGUCGUAAAGCUCUGUCAAGUGGGAAGAACCUAUAUAAUGCCAAUACCAUUAUAUACUGACGGUACCACUGAAGGAAGCACCGGCUAACUCCGUGCCAGCAGCCGCGGUAAUACGGGGGGUGCAAGCGUUAUUCGGAAUCAUUGGGCGUAAAGAGCACGUAGGCGGCCUGGUAAGUCAGAUGUGAAAGCCCGGGGCUUAACCCCGGAAGUGCAUUUGAUACUGUCAGGCUUGAGUAUGGGAGAGGGAAGUGGAAUUCCUGGUGUAGAGGUGAAAUUCGUAGAUAUCAGGAGGAACACCGGUGGCGAAGGCGACUUCCUGGACCAAUACUGACGCUGAGGUGCGAAGGCGUGGGUAGCAAACAGGAUUAGAUACCCUGGUAGUCCACGCAGUAAACGUUGAUCACUAGGUGUAGCGGGUAUUGACCCCUGCUGUGCCGCAGUUAACGCAUUAAGUG
rnacentral:rRNA from 1 species